AACGCACAUUGCGCCCGCCAGCACUCUGGCGGGCAUGCCUGUUCGAGCGUCAUUUCAACCCUCAGGGCCCCUCUGCGGGCGCUGGCGUUGGGGAUUGGCAGCCAGCCAGCCCCGAAAUCUAGUGGCGGUCCCCCCGCGACCUCCCCUGUGCAGUAGCGAUACCUCGCAGCGGGACAGCGGUCUGACCACGCCGUAAAACCCCCUACUUCUCAAGGUUGACCUCGGAUCAGGUAGGACUACCCGCUGAACUUAA
rnacentral:misc_RNA from 1 species